rnacentral:rRNA from 1 species
GAUGAACGCUGGCGGCGUGCCUAAUACAUGCAAGUCGAGCGAACAGAUGAGGAGCUUGCUCCUCUGACGUUAGCGGCGGACGGGUGAGUAACACGUGGAUAACCUACCUAUCAGACUGGGAUAACUUCGGGAAACCGGAGCUAAUACCGGAUAAUAUAUUGAACCGCAUGGUUCAAUAGUGAAAGACGGUUUUGCUGUCACUUAUAGAUGGAUCCGCGCCGCAUUAGCUAGUUGGUAAGGUAACGGCUUACCAAGGCAACGAUGCGUAGCCGACCUGAGAGGGUGAUCGGCCACCCUGGAACUGAGACACGGUCCAGACUCCUACGGGAGGCAGCAGUAGGGAAUCUUCCGCAAUGGGCGAAAGCCUGACGGAGCAACGCCGCGUGAGUGAUGAAGGUCUUCGGAUCGUAAAACUCUGUUAUUAGGGAAGAACAAAUGUGUAAGUAACUAUGCACGUCUUGACGGUACCUAAUCAGAAAGCCACGGCUAACUACGUG